AUAUAAACUAAAGAAGCAAAUGAAAGGAAAUAGAAACAGAAUGAAACGAAACAGAGGGCACGGGAGAAAAAGAAAGAAAGAAGGGGAGAAAAGGGAAAAUUGAAGGUUUGAAGCUUUAAGCUUUAAUAGGUUAAGUAAAGAUAGUACGUUGAAUCAGCAUCCCAAGACGAUCCCGAAUUCAUUAAGGUAAAGUAUGUUGAGUAUUGAUAAUGGCAUGUACCCAGGAUGUUUAAUGAGAGUCAUUUAGGUUGUAAAAGUAUUGAUGAAAUGAGUAAAUUAUGGUUGGCAACGGUAUGUAGUAUGAAUUUUGAAAUUUACUAAAAA